AACGAGGUUAACUGGGCAUUUCACUCAUCUAGCAUUUAGUAACAAGUCUCUGCUGUGGUUAUCAGGGUCUCCUCCAGAUAGAGAAACUACCAGGUAAGGGAAUAAUUACACUGUGAGAAGCUUGUUUGUAGAGUGCCAUGGUUGGCUCACCUGUGAGGAGGCCUGGUGAGAUAAGAUAUCCAUCAGUGUCUAACACAUGCUCACUAACCUGCUCACUAACCUGUAUCUCCUUUCAGCCCUCUGCCAUACCCAGGUGUCUCCUUUCUUCCUCAUUUGCAUACCUGGACAAGAUAGCCACGCUGAUAGGGUUUCAGUUUCAGGUAAAGACAAACUCAGACCAAAACCACUCAAGAAAGUUCACAUGUUGUCCAUACUUUAUACCAUUGGGACAGCACCAGAAGUCUUUCUGCACUGAGAUAUAAGAUCUUUCCUUAUUUAAAAAAAAAAAAAAAGG
rnacentral:lncRNA from 1 species